CGCGUAGGCGGUUAAAUCAGUCAGAUGUGAAAUCCCCGAGCUUAACUUGGGAAUUGCAUUUGAUACUGUUUGACUAGAAUGUGGUAGAGGGGGGUAGAAUUCCAGGUGUAGCGGUGAAAUGCGUAGAGAUCUGGAGGAAUACCGAUUGCGAAGGCAGCCCCCUGGACAGUGACUGACGCUCAUAUGCGAAAGCGUGGGGAUCAAACAGGAUUAGAUACCCCAGUA
rnacentral:rRNA from 1 species